rnacentral:rRNA from 1 species
CACCGCGGUUACACGAAUGACCCUAGUUGCUAGCCGCGGCAUAAAGGGUGGUUAGGGGUAAAAAUAAAUAAAGCUAAAGACCCCCUAGGCCGUCAUACGCAUUCCGGAGGUACGAGACCCAAUACGAAAGUAGCUUUAAAACCAUUCCUGAUUCCACGAAAGCUAAGAAA